rnacentral:rRNA from 1 species
CCUACGGGAGGCAGCAGUGAGGAAUAUUGGUCAAUGGGCGAGAGCCUGAACCAGCCAAGUCGCGUGAGGGAGUACUGCCCUAUGGGUUGUAAACCUCUUUUGUCGGGGAGCAAAAGCCGCAAGUGUCCGGCUGUGAGAGUAUACGAAGAAAAAGAAUCGGCUUAAUCCGUGCCAGAAGCGGCGGUAAUACGGAGGAUGCGAGCGUUCUACGGAUUUAUUGGGUGUAAAGGGUGCGCAGGCGGGUUGUUAAGUCAGCGGUCAAAUCGUGGGGCUCAACCCCAUCCCGCCGUUGAAACUGGGGAUCUAGAGUGUGCGAGAGGUAUGCGGAAUGCGUGGUGUAGCGGUGAAAUGCAUAGAUAUCACGCAGAACCCCGAUUGCGAAGGCAGCAUACCGG